rnacentral:rRNA from 1 species
UACGGAGGGAGCUAGCGUUGUUCGGAAUUACUGGGCGUAAAGCGCACGUAGGCGGCUUUUUAAGUCAGGGGUGAAAUCCCGGGGCUCAACCCCGGAACUGCCCUUGAAACUGGAGAGCUAGAAUCUUGGAGAGGCGAGUGGAAUUCCGAGUGUAGAGGUGAAAUUCGUAGAUAUUCGGAAGAACACCGGUGGCGAAGGCGACUCGCUGGACAAGUAUUGACGCUGAGGUGCGAAAGCGUGGGGAGCAAACAGG